CUGGUUUAAAAAUGGUUUGUCCCAUAUCAUAAGUAAAUUCGACUUCGGCAGAAUGUAACUCAAAACAUGAAAACAUAAGAAAUGUUGCUAAGCAUUUGGUUCGGCAAGCUAACGAUUCUACCACUUUACUGCAUUAAAAAUACCUUAAAUACUAAUUAUCUUUCUACCAUUGGCACAGAACCUGGAAUUUGAGGGGGGGGGGGAUAGUCGAGUACUUCGACCGUAGUACUUGAUUGGUACUUAAUUUAUCGACCGAGACUUGAGGAAAUGCAAAGAAGACGCCUGCUGAAACUUAACUCAGAACGUAAACACGGAGGAAACGCCGCUAAGAAUUUUGACCGGUAUGCAAACGAAUCUGGCAGCUUCUCCGUGCCAAAUAAUGUAUCCAAAUGUUAACACAAGGUCAGUAAUAUCGGAGUAGUCGACCCUAGCAUUUAACUGGUUGUUGAUUUACCGACCACGAAAAGAUAAUUGGCACCGUGCCUUCAGCUACAACACAUCGUGAUAAACUCAGUGACAGCUACUAAUUUCAGGACACGACAGAUAGAGAGGAUGUUCUUGAGGCAGGGAAUGUCAACUUCUGUAGACAAUAUUUACAUAUCACUUGACGAAACACAACUAAGUGCAUAUCAAGUAACAGAAAG